UGAAAUGAAGAAAUAAUAGAGAAAAUCUUGAGGCUCUCUCUCCAAUCCACAAAAAUCCUCACACAGAUUUCCUUCACUCUCUCACGUUUCCUCUCACACUCAAUCAAAUGACGUCCAUCUCCCUCACUCUCUCUCAACUCUCACUUGACAUAUAACAAAAAUAUAAUAAAAACGUUCAGCUACCUACCACUCUCAAAAAAUUGGAAAAAGAAAAAAUUCUCUCUGCAUAUAGAAAAGACAACCCC
rnacentral:lncRNA from 1 species